CCCAGUCAACCUUCCACCGCCCCUCACACAGACUCUUCCCCAUUCUUCGCUCACUUCCUCCUCCUAAUCUCGCGAUCCCCAUCCACGGCCCGAGCUCUUUGGUGGCCGCCCCUCCCCUUCGUCAGUGACGCCGGCGGGCGCGCAUGCCCCUGCUCUGCCCUGCCCCUCCCCUUCAUCAGCACCGCCGGCGGGCGCGCAAGCCCCUGCUCUGCCCACCCCUUCUUCCUAUUCGGUGACGCCGGUGCCCUCCCUCCUCUGGUGCGGAGGGGCGCUCGAGCUCGGCAUGCUCACCGGCGACGUCGGGGCCUUCCCUCGUGGUGAUGCACUCGCCCCCUCCUCCUGGCGAUGGCGGGCCUCUCAUGCUCGACAUGGUCGCCAGCGACGUCGCGCCACGAACUUCCCUCCCCCCUGCUCGGGACGCCAUGAAGGACCAGGAGCAGUUGCUGCUCGCAACCUCCAACUUGAUUAGGAUGACCACGAUGACCUCUGCGUGCUGUGCUGCUGCUCGGGACCCUCCCCCUGUGCUUCUCCUCGCUCGUCCUGGUCCAGUUAGUUAAGUAAUGUACCCUUAGUGGCCGUGUUGGACAGGAGGGGCCAGAGAAGUGCUUCUGGUUGUUUGAAGAAUGUGAGUCUGACAUCAUAGGUUUCCAUUUUAUGAAGAAACCAUCAAGGGAAGAAUUACACCUGGUCCGGGGUCCGUGCAGGGCGGGGGCGGCCGCACGGGUGUUGGGCGGGUUCGUGGGCACUGGCGAUCUGGCGGACUUCUGGCACACUGCGAGGGGGCAGGGCAGCCUCCUGGGCGCCCGCUACGUCGAUGGUGCAUGGAGGCGGCUGCAUGGUGGAGUGGCGCGAGGUCGCCGUCUGGAGAAGACGGUGUUGGCGCGAUGGCGACGGAAGGCAGAGAGGGCCAUGCGCGAUUGGGCUAGGAGAAUCAAUUAUUUCCUUAGUCUGAGAUUAGAAGUGUUGGAUUGUUUAAUAGUAGUGGAGUUGGAGAUGGAGAUUCCCCGAUUGUCGGGGGGGGGACCGAUAGUUGGAGGGAAGGCUUCCCUAGUCUCCUGGUGAAGCACGGUCAGUCAAUGAAAAUUGUUAGGUGCACACCAUACCGGUAUUAGAUCAAUGAUGGCCGUUAGAUUCAGAUU